UACGGGGGGGCAAGCGUUGUUCGGAAUUACUGGGCGUAAAGGGCUCGUAGGUGGCCAACUAAGUCGGACGUGAAAUCCCUCAGCUUAACCGGGGAACUGCGUCUGAUACUGGAUGGCUUGAGUUCGGGAGAGGGAUGCGGAAUUCCAGGUGUAGCGGUGAAAUGCGUAGAUAUCUGGAGGAACACCGGUGGCGAAGGCGGCGUUCUGGACUGCAUCUGACACUGAAAGACGAAAGCCAGGGGAGCAAACGGG
rnacentral:rRNA from 1 species